GUUUUUAUCAGCUGUUUGGAUUCUCAUUCUGAUGGCACCCAUUCACUGCAGAACAUCCAUUGAUUUCCAUUUUUCUGAAUCUUCUGAAAAUUAACUCCUCUUUAUCUUUCGUGGCCUGUGGUGUCACACACAGACGACAACGGAGACAGAUAUUAAAUGAAAGCCAGGACAUUUUAUUGGAAGGAUGGGAUUAACUGGCAAAUGAGAGAUGAAUGGCAGUCCAAGGAGAAGCCGCAGGCACACAGACACACUCCAAAGUCACCAGAGGUAAAAAGGUAGUUGAUUUUCCAAAGUAUCCACUUGAUGAAGACGACAGAAUCCUCCAAGAGGUAAGAGAGAGUCAGGUUUAGUCCACACCGUUACUCCAGGUAACAUAGACGAGACCGGACAGUGUCUUUGUUGGUGGCUUUUGUGGUGAGUGCGUAAUGAGGAGUGACCAGUACUGCAAAUUAAUCAGGUUACCAGGUUGGGCAAGAUGAAAGUCCCGCAGGAGCUCUGGAUCGAGUAUGUCGUCCCGGGGUACCCAAGAGCGCUCCUCUGGACCUCAUCCUUUCCAGUCUACCAGGUACUCCAGCAGUCCACCUUGAUGCCUGGAGUCCAGGAGCUGCCGGACAGUGUAGACCGUGGCUUCCUUGUCCAGAGAGGGGGGGGCUUCUUCACCACUUCUGGAGGAACUGAAGUGACAGAUACCUGUGAUCCUGAAGGUUGACGAGAGCCCCAGAGCAGUCAACGCCGAAUUAAAUGACACCAUGCUUCGGCAGAUUGAGACACUGAAGAGGAACUUCAGGAGCCUGAUCAAGAUGCCGACACCCAUGGCUAUGAUCAUUGUGUCAGGACCACUGCCUAUGUAUCAACGAGGACACGAAAGAUGGAUAGACACUAUUGCAGCGGCUGGUGGAACAAAACGCCUACCGAACUCUUGUGCUGGAGUUGCUGUGGAGAGGUUGAAGUUUGAAGAAGCCAGUGGAGCAGAGACAUCUUGAAAAGGCAUCUGGAUAGUGAGCUAAGAAGGUGGCGAGGAAGCUGAAGUCAAUGGCAUGCUCAGGUCAUUACUAAAUCCAGAAGAAGGAGGACGAGACUGUGGAAUAGCUGAGGAGUAUAUCGCCGGAUCUGCGCUGGAGUAGGAACUGGCAAGAGACUGUUCGAGGUAAUAGGAGAUGGCAGGACGAUUUCUUCAUCAGAAUCAGAAUAAUCACAAAGAUAGUGCGAGUUUUGAGACAUAUUCGGUCGGCAACAGAAUGCCAGCAACUGAGUGGAGCGUUCAGCAUCUGCAAACUCAGACAAGUGUAAGCACAGGUCCUUUACAGUUCUAUUAUUAGAACGUGAUUGGACAAUUGAGAAGGUAAUAAGUGACGCUAACAAUUGAGUCUUCCCGGCAGAACUUAUGCUAAAGCUUUCAUUUUAUUUGAAUUCUGGCGUGCUCUUGUGAUGGCUGGUGACGCGCUCUGACGCAUAUGUCAGCUGAUGGA